AGUACAUGCUUUUUACACGAUUGAUUUGUGUCCUCAAGGAUAGGGACACUAAGUGCAGUUGCAAGCACGAUGUACUGUGGUAUUUAUAAAAUAUGUCCAAAUUAAGCCCUAUAUUUUUCCUCCCUUACAUGAACAGAAUUUAAAGAAGACAAGAACGACAACUUCAGAUUUUGAGAUGAGAAGCAGACAAAAACAAGGAAGACUCUUUCUGAAGUGGAAACCUGAAUCUACUGAAUUACCUUCUUGAAAGAAAGAAGACAGGAUGCUUGUGUGUGUGUGUUUAUAAUGAAUGCAUACUGAUGUGAAACAGUACAUACUCAUGGAAACCUCUUGGUGUAAACUGUUAAUUUAGUC
rnacentral:lncRNA from 1 species